GACUCUCGGCAACGGAUAUCUCGGCUCUCGCAUCGGUGAAGAACGUAGCGAAAUGCGAUACCUGGUGUGAAUUGCAGAAUCCCACAAACCAUCGAGUCUUUGAACGCAAGUUGCGCCCGAGGCCACUCGGCCGAGGGCACGCCUGCCUGGGCGUCA
rnacentral:rRNA from 1 species